rnacentral:pre_miRNA from 1 species
AAUAGAUGACAACAUUGACUUUUUCUCACAUGUUUGAUCCUUCGUCUUAUUCAAAAAAUUUAUGUAAUUAUAAUAUAUUUUGUUAUGAGUUGUUUUAUCAUUCAUAGUACUUUAAGUGUGAUUUAUAUCUUACACAUUUGCAUAAAAUUUUUAAAUAAGACGAAUGGUCAAACAUGUAAGAAAAAGUCAACAGCGUCAUCUAUU